rnacentral:lncRNA from 1 species
AAUGAGAACUAAAGAAAAUAUGGUUUUCGUGCAAUAUACAUAUCUGGCAAUGGAUGUAUUGUCAUAAGUGUAUAAGUCAAAGAUUUUAAAGUCUGUGUUGAACAUUCAAAAAGCUGCUGUUGGUCGGCUAAAGUGCGGACGACCAUAUCCGAUUCCAAAUGGACGGCCAAAUUCUCCACCGUAACGAAGGCUGCUACCCCGUCUUCCGAAUAUAUGGUCGUAGAGGCAUCAGCUACUAGCAUGCCUCCGACCGCCAUGUCCUCCAUCGUUUCCAUUGAAAUCACCUGGCGAUUGCCUGUUGUAGUUGGAUUUUUCGUUUCGUCUCCUGUCACCUGUGCCGUUUUCUUUCGACAUCCACCAACGCAAUUGCGGCAAAAUGCGUCACAUUUCCCCUUACCACAGCAUGGAUUUGCUCGGCUACUAUCUUCACAAUAUCCAAUGGGCCGCCACAAACCUAAUACUUUCAUUACUGGUAUCAUUCUGUAUUUGGUAGGGGCACAUCGUUCGGCGUCAGCUUGAUCCGUCAUCAUUGCCAGAGCAAAGAACAGAAUGCAAAAGGAUGGAAUUAUUACCUUCGGCAUCAUCUUUUGAUUGACGAAAAAAGGAGCUUUGUUGAGGAUGAGUACCAACUAUCGAACAUUAGUCGACUGAAAAAUGUGAGCGGAGAGGGCCUCUUUUUAACGUAAACGUAGGCAACAUUGUCGGGGGGAAAAAGUUUGGACGCAAGGCAUAUCCGCUGCCUACGCCGGAAACAAAUCCACCGCCAUAUCCGGGGGUGUAGGCGCUAGUGGCUAAUCCUCCUGCGUAGGCGUUACCAAGUCCGGCAGCGUAACCGCUACCAAGUCCUGCGUUGUAUCCGCUGCCGAGAUAUCCUGCACCGAGACCGGAUCCAUAUCCACCUGCAUAGUUAACAGUUCCGCCUCCGCUGUUUCCGUUGCCUUGUCCAUUCGAUACUCCGCCAGCAUUUGAUAGACCGCCAAAUUGGCUGUAGCCUCCAAAGUUCGGAGUAUACUGUCGACCAUAUCCGCCAUAUGGGCGACUGAAUCCACUAUAGGGACGGCCAAGUCCGUUAGGACGGCCAUAAUAUCCUCCGCCAUAUGGGCGACCUUAAAUUAGAACGAGAACCAAGUGGGCGGCUGUAGGAUCCUCCGCCGUACUGCAAGCGUAUUUCUUCCGUCUUCUGAUCCGGAAGUCCCCCUAGGAAGGCCGCAGUGCUGGUUGGGGCCAGGAUCGUUGGGAUAGCAACUUCAUCGCUAGGCAAUGCAACAGGUCCAACGAUCACAUCGUCAUCCACUAGAAUCAAUCCGUCAUCCAUCGCCCCAAAAGCCUGGCGACUCUUCCGGUCAGAAGAAUCUGCCAGGGCAGCUCCGAUGAUCACAACAAGGCAAAUAGUCUGCGCAUUAAAUCGAGGGUCUUCAUGGCGAAUUCGUACAAAGUUGUCGGUAAAAUGGCUGCUGUUUGUUGAUGUUUAUAUACCCCAGCCCAUUGGUAGUUUUCCUACAACGCUGUUGCACAAAACAGGAGGAGCAUUGAGGCUAACUGAAGUGCUAUUGGUUGUUCAGUUGACAGGUGGGUUUGAGGUCUCGGAGGUUCCGACCUAUAGCAACAAAGAUAAUGGCAAGUUUGAUGCCCUCUAUCUGAUGGUUAUGUAAAGGAGAUGCAGUUAUUAUCGUCGAGUUCAGCGAUCCUUCUUAUGAAUGCCACCUAUGGUUCGAGAGUAGAAGAAUUGAAGAAGAAUACUGAUCAAAUGGCCGAAGAAACUUGCUGAGUUAGCUUCACAUAACCAACAGUCAACGGAAGUUUAGUAAGGACCCCAUGGGCGGCUUGGGAUGUAUGGACCCCAGGGCCU